UACUCCCGCCGGCGACCGGCGCACGGGUGAGUAACACGUAUGAAACCUGCCCGUAGCAGGGGGAUAAGCGGAAGAAAUUCCGUCUAAUACCGCGUAACAACCCGAGGAGGCAUCUCCUCGGGUUUAAAGGAAGCGAUUCCGGCUACGGAUGGUCAUGCGUCGCAUUAGCUAGUUGGCGGGGUAACGGCCCACCGAGGCGACGAUGCGUAGGGGUUCUGAGAGGAAGGUCCCCCACACUGGUACUGAGACACGGACCAGACUCCUACGGGAGGCAGCAG
rnacentral:rRNA from 1 species